CGUGGGAGUAAAACGGUGAAAGAAGAACAGAUCGGGAGUGAGGUGAAACUGGAGGAGAGGAACGAAAGAAAGAAAGAAAGAGAAAGAAGGAGAUAUAAUGAAAGCUGAAGAGAGGUUUCUGCUGGACGAAUGAUUCCAGACUCCAGACCGGAUUCACUGGGAAGAAGAGAAAGAACGUGGAAAACAGGAGGUUUGCAAACAGGUAUCUCACGUCACGUUUGAUUGUGCAAUUGUUUGCCGACUCAAGAUAGCAGCGAGGAA